rnacentral:lncRNA from 1 species
AAUCAUAAAACACCAUUUCAAAUAAUAUUUUUUUACUCCAUAUGAGCUCCUCCACCCAUCCCCGUAGAAUCAAAGGAUCAAAAAAAAAUAUAUAUUAUUUCAAAAUGACAUUUUUGGAAGUGCCAUUUGAAAUGACGUUUUCAAAGUCAAGCCCCUCCUUCCCUUCUAUUUUUCGUUCUUCGCCCGUUCAUCGCCGAACCUCGCCCUUUCUCCGCCCAUUCACCGU